rnacentral:lncRNA from 1 species
AUCAGGACGUAAUUGCCCUGAUUCGACCUAUGUAGCUUUUUUUAAAAACUGACGUAGCUUGUUUAAGUAAUGGUGUUGGCUACCAGAUGUACAGCCUCCCACUGGAGCUCGGGCACCUCACAAAGGCUCUCCAAUGCGAGGGGAUACCAGUAAAACAGUGAUGAAAACCACAGGUACCAGUAUCUGCACGUGGCUCACGUGAAAGCAUUUACUGCUUUUCAUGCCCCUGUAUUAAACCAUAGUGGGAAAGAGCCCCUCCUUGGAAAAUACAUUAAUUAUUUGACACUGGGUUUCCUCAGACUUUUCUUUUUUUUUUUUUUUUUUGCUAUGGGAUGCAAGUGAAAGAUUACAGCUGAAAAAAUGAUCAUCAUACUUGAGAUCUUGAUGAACAUUCUAGCCUUUCCAGCUCCCUCGCUUUCAGUCGCUUUUAUUAAGGCGUUUGGAGGCCUUUUCCCACCCCAAGAUGGAGAUGCCAAGGAAAGGUACUUUUUUUACUUCCUGAGCUUCUUGGACAGAUAAUUUGUACCCACCGUGUGCAGCACGAGUGUCUCAAGCAGAUAUUAAACCACUAAAUGGCUACACUCCAGUUCCACAGAUGGUAAAUGUGUUAUCCUGAUAUUGCCUUCCCCCUUUAGAUUAACAAAUAUAUAUAUCUUUAUGUUUGCAAACAGAAUAUGGUCAAAGUCCUGUUCAAAUGAGAGAAGUUUUUAGGGUUUGAUUUGGGGUUUUUUUCCUUAAAAUGUUGGAGAAGGGUUUUUGGCGUUAUGGCAUUGAGAAGAAUCAUGUAAGAUUGUUAUCAAGGAAAUGUUAAGUUCAAGAAUGAGGUUUUCACAAUGAUGAGCACCCACGGCACUGUCUAAAUUUUCAGCAUCUGCAAAAAUGUUGCCUUAAGUUUACUAGCUGAUUUUUGAAAAAAGCAGUGUCAUCGUUUCAGGGCUUUUUUUUUUUUUUUUUUUUUUUUUUUCCUUCAAUCUCUAAACUAAGGUAAAUCUAGAGGGAACUUUGGAACAGAUUGGAAAUGUAAACAGAAAUUAAAUAAAUAAAUAAAUAAAUACA